CAGCCGCCGCGGGAAUACAGAGGAUGCAAGCGUUAUCCGGAAUGAUUGGGCGUAAAGCGUCUGUAGGUGGCUUUUCAAGUCCGCCGUCAAAUCCCAGGGCUCAACCCUGGACAGGCGGUGGAAACUACCAAGCUAGAGUACGGUAGGGGCAGAGGGAAUUUCCGGUGGAGCGGUGAAAUGCGUUGAGAUCGAAAAGAACACCAACGACGAAAGCACUCUGCUGGGUCGACACUGACACUGAGAGACGAAAGCUAGGGGAGCAAAUGGGAUUAGAUACCCCAGUAGUCCCUGUCUCUUAUAC
rnacentral:rRNA from 1 species